GAAAUGACGUUUUCUAGUUAGAUCAAGUGUGUAUUUUGACAGCUUAAUGCAGUCGAUGAUCACUCGGAAGACGGAAUCACAGUGAACGCUGAAAAAGAAGCACGCAUAAUAUAUCCACGUUCAGCGUCUCGCGCGGCACUGCGUACGAGUCCACGGAGCCAAGCAGCGCUUUAUGGGAACCUAAAGCCAGGUAGCAAACAGCAGUGCCACGACAAACAGUGGAGUGCUGACCAUCCAGUCCGGAAUGUGGCUGAGGGAAGCAUGCCAUAAGAGGCGCUUAUUCAGCCAGAAGAAAUAAGCAUCUGCAGGCAACGUAAAGACGUACAGAAAGGAGCGAAGUGGGGCUGUGCAUGGGCCGUGCACAGUUGCAUAAGCGGCUUGCAACACCUUUGACAAUUAUGUUCCUGAAUACAUAUGUGAAAGUACAUUUCAAGAAGCAUGAAGUAGUGUGCUUCUUUGUUUAUUUGGCAUGAGACAGCAGAUUUUAUGUGCAGCUGUGGUACGAAACAGUUAUUUUGCAAUAAGGCAAAUGCGCCGUAACAUAUUGGACAAUACGGGCAGACCGUUCUGCGGAAUCUUAACGUAAGAAGUCAGCAACAGCUAGAACAAGUGUCGCACAAACCAGUGCAACUGACAGCAAGUAGAAGGCAAGGCUACACUCUAAGAUAAUGUCCACUGCAGAGGUUAAGACAAACUUGCCAUGCUGAUAAUAAAAUGCUUCAU